rnacentral:miRNA from 1 species
ACGGGAUUUUAUAACGGACUUUGG